rnacentral:rRNA from 1 species
UACGUAGGGGGGCAAGCGUUGUCCGGAAUCAUUGGGCGUAAAGCGCGUGUAGGCGGUCCGGUAAGUCCGCUGUGAAAGUCGGGGGCUUAACCCUCGGAUGCCGGUGGAUACUGUCGGGCUUGAGUACGGAAGAGGCGAGUGGAAUUCCUGGUGUAGCGGUGAAAUGCGCAGAUAUCAGGAGGAACACCAAUUGCGAAGGCAGCUCGCUGGGACGUUACUGACGCUGAGACGCGAAAAGCGUGGGGGAGCAAACAGG